AACGGCCGUACCAUGCUGAAUAUACCAGUUCUCGUUAGAUCACCGAAGUUAAGCAUCAUUGGGCGCGGUCAGUACUUGGGUGGGUGACCACCUGGGAACACUGCGUGUCGUU
rnacentral:rRNA from 1 species